rnacentral:rRNA from 1 species
AUGGACGCAGUCUGAUGGAGCACGCCGCGUGAGUGAAGAAGGGUUUCGGCUCGUAAAGCUCUGUUGGUAGUGAAGAAAGAUAGAGGUAGUAACUGGCCUUUAUUUGACGGUAAUUACUUAGAAAGUCACGGCUAACUACGUGCCAGCAGCCGCGGUAAUACGUAGGAGGCAAGCGUUGUCCGGAUUUAUUGGGCGUAAAGCGAGUGCAGGCGGUUCAAUAAGUCUGAUGUGAAAGCCUUCGGCUCAACCGGAGAAUUGCAUCAGAAACUGUUGAACUUGAGUGCAGAAGAGGGGAGUGGAACUCCAUGUGUAGCGGUGGAAUGCGUAGAUAUAUGGAAGAACACCAGUGGCGAAGGCGGCUCUCUGGUCUGCAACUGACGCUGAGGCUCGAAAGCAUGGGUAGCGAACAGGAUUAGAUACCCUGGUAGUCCAUGCCGUAACGAUGAGUGCUAAGUGUUGGGAGGUUUCCGCCUCUCAGUGCUGCAGCUAACGCAUUAAGCACUCCGCCUGGGGAGUACGACCGCAAGGUUGAAACUCAAAGGAAUUGACGGGGGCCCGCACAAGCGGUGGAGCAUGUGGUUUAAUUCGAAGCA